rnacentral:rRNA from 1 species
AUACGAGUUUGAUCAUGGCUCAGAGUGAACGCUGGCGGCGUGCUUAACACAUGCAAGUCGAACGGUAACAGGAAGUAGCUUGCUACUUUGCUGACGAGUGGCGCACGGGUGAGUAAUAUAUAGUUAAUGUACCUCAAAGACUGGGAUAGCCACUGGAAACGGUGAUUAAUACUAGAUAUACCUUUAUAACAAAAGUUGUAAAGGGAAACGUUUUUUCGCUUUGAGAUCAGACUAUAUCCCAUCAGUUAGUUGGUAGUGUAAGAGACUACCAAGGCAAUGACGGGUAGCGGGUUUGAGAGGAUGAUCCGCCACACUGGUACUGAGACACGGACCAGACUCCUACGGGAGGCAGCGGUGAGGAAUAUUGCACAAUGGAGGAAACUCUGAUGCAGCAACGCCGCGUGGAGGAUGACGCAUUUCGGUGUGUAAACUCCUUUUAUGAGUCAAGAAAAUGACGGUAGCUCAUGAAUAAGCACCGGCUAACUCCGUG